rnacentral:rRNA from 1 species
ACCAGACUCCUACGGGAGGCAGCAGUGGGGAAUAUUGCACAAUGGGGGAAACCCUGAUGCAGCAACGCCGCGUGAGUGAAGAAGUAUUUCGGUAUGUAAAGCUCUAUCAGCAGGGAAGAGAAUGACGGUACCUGACUAAGAAGCCCCGGCUAACUACGUGCCAGCAGCCGCGGUAAUACGUAGGGGGCAAGCGUUAUCCGGAUUUACUGGGUGUAAAGGGGGCGCAGACGGCAGCGCAAGCCAGGAGUGAAAGCCCGGGGCCCAACCCCGGGACUGCUCUGGAAACUGUAGAGCUAGAGUGCAGGAGAGGUAAGUGGAAUUCCUAGUGUAGCGGUGAAAUGCGUAGAUAUUAGGAGGAACACCAGUGGCGAAGGCGGCUUACUGGACUGUAACUGACGUUGAGGCUCGAAAGCGUGGGGAGCAAACAGGAUUAGAUACCCUAGUA